CAACCAUCUACUCAGAUCGAGAUCUUCCACACACCACCGCCGCCGCAGCAAACCGGAGAGCGAGACCGACUGAGCGCACCGCGCCACCGCCGCGAUGAGGGCCAAGUGGAAGAAGAAGAGAAUGAGGAGGCUCAAGAGGAAGCGCCGAAAGAUGAGGCAGCGAUCCAAGUAGGCUGCUUCGAGAAGGGGAAGCAUCUUCUAACAUCUGGCAGCUGGACGUUGAGGGAUGAUGGCAUCGUGGUCUAAUGAUUCCUGAUCUGUUCUGUAGUUUAUGGUUGUGGAAUAUGUUUACCUGUGUUUGUUUCAAAUAUAAGACUAAGUUAUUGUAAUGAGGAUUCUAUAUGUUUCUGUUUCUUGAUCGUAUGCACUUGGAGCUUGUUCUGUUUA